CCUACGGGGGGCUGCAGUAAGGAAUAUUGGGCAAUGGACGCAAGUCUGACCCAGCCAUGCCGCGUGAAGGAUGAAGGUCCUCUGGAUUGUAAACUUCUUUUAUUUGGGAAGAAAUCCACGAUUUCUAUUGUGGUUGACGGUACCAGAUGAAUAAGCACCGGCUAACUCCGUGCCAGCAGCCGCGGUAAUACGGAGGGUGCAAGCGUUAUCCGGAUUCACUGGGUUUAAAGGGUGCGUAGGCGGACAUCUAAGUCAGUGGUGAAAUCCUCGAGCUUAACUCGAGAACUGCCAUUGAUACUAUUUGUCUUGAAUAUUGUGGAGGUGAGCGGAAUAUGUCAUGUAGCGGUGAAAUGCUUAGAUAUGACAUAGAACACCAAUUGCGAAGGCAGCUCGCUACACCUAUAUUGACGCUGAGGCACGAAAGCGUGGGGAUCAAACAGGAUUAGAUACCCCGGUAGUC
rnacentral:rRNA from 1 species